CUCUCCUCCUCCAUGGCCCGGCCCCAGGCUGGCGCGGUGUGUCAGGGCGUGGCGCCGUCCGCACCUCACGCCGACAGGCCAGACAUGUCCUUCGUUCCCUUUGGAUCAUUACAGCGUUCGUGCACAGAUGUCACGAAACACCUCUGAAGAGGCUGCUGGGCCGCGUUUCUUGUGGCACGUGAGGGGAACAUGUGUCUUGUGCCAGAGGAGAGACGCAUACACACGUCCACGAGAGCUCUCACAGAGAGCGCCCGUAUGUCUCUGGCUUCUGAGUGCCGCAAUCCCAGCCUCCCACGGCCCAGCCAGCGCGCCUGUGAGCCUGGCGCGGCAGCCCCCGUGCGGCACCUGGGCCGCACCGUCCCGUCCCGUCAGGGGCAGCCCGGGCCUCGCCCGUUUUCUGUUUUAUUUGGUUGCCAGUCAAAACGCAAUACGGCCUGUGUUUGCCUCGGGAGGUGCCUCGGGGAUGUUUUCAAGUCCCCGGUGAGAACUUGAGUCACCUCUCGGCAAGUCUCUCCUCCGAGAGGGCCACUGCUCCCGCCCCGGGGUGGACUGUGUCCUCAGAUGCCAGGUGGGUCCCCGUGUGGAUGAGGCCCCAGCUCCCUGAAGGUCACCGUGGGGCGAGCCACAGAGACCCAGCAGAGUGCCACUGACGAGGCCGCGCUAACCGGCCGUGUCGGGGAGACUCCAAAGCACCGGUGUCUGCCCGGAAUGUCACAGCGGUGUCUGUCCCCGGUUUCCCAGUGCCCUGGAGGUCCUGCCAGAACUGCUCACGGCCGAUACCGAGCUAAAGAAUGUGUAGGCGGAGGUCAGGCUUUAUUUUUGGUUGCUGGCAUGGUAGUGAGCAUUCAUGAAAGCAAGUGAUGACUCACUAGUAGGUGGAGAAUUGAAUGAGUUCCUUCCUAAAAUCAGUUUCCUGAAACUCCAAGUGGAGCAGGCACUUGUUCUCACGACCCAGCGUCCCUCCUGUGUCUGGGAGCAGCAUCACCCCUGCCCGCACUACCUGCUUCUGCCCUGCUCCUUGCAGGUCUGCCAGGCACAGCCCUCUAACCUUGGUGGCAGGGUGGGCACCUGACCCCGGUCAAGCCCGUCACUGCAUGGCUUCAGGUGGCAGGGUGGGCACCUGUCCCGGGUCUAGCCAUCACUGCAUGGCUUCAGAUGGCAGGGUGGGCACCUGUCCCGGGUCUAGCCAUCACUGCAUGGCUUCAGGUGGCAGGGUGGGCACCUGUCCCGGGUCUAGCCCGUCACUGCAUGGCUUCAGGUGGCAGGGUGGGCACCUGUCCCGGGUCUAGCCCGUCACUGCAUGGCUUCAGGUGGCACGGUGGGCACCUGUCCCGGGUCUAGCCGUCACUGCAUGGCUUCAGCAAGCCCCCAAGGAUAGAGAUGCGAUCCAGGCCAGGCCGGGCCAGCCAGGGCCCUUCCCUUGGGUUUUUCUCACUGAAGAUGGAAAGGCAAUGCAUCUCUUUGUCCUUUGACAGCUAACAAAAAGGACAGACUCCCCUAGAGUUGCUGGCCAUCACAGAAGAGCCCACAAGGAAGCCAAUACGUAAAAAAGCGGCUGAGUUGAGAGAUAAAAGACAACAGUUGAAAUUGGGAUACUAUUUUGGCACCUGAAACUAGUUUUAUCUCUGAAUUCCAUGUAUGAAUCAGCUUCACCCACGGCCCCUCAGUUCCCUUUUGCUUAAUGGUCUCUAACAACACUUUAAGAAAGUGGCCUUGAAAACCCACCAGUCCAAUUUCCUUAUUUUACAGGUACGGAAGUGGAAACGGGGAGAGAUUCAGUAAUUGCACAAAAAGCAUGACAAGAACACCUUGUUGGAGCAUCCUGCCGCCACCUUUCAAGCCAUCCAUCGCUGUGCAGUGGCAGGGGGACAUGAGGGCACUGGAGACUUGGGACCGCCAGGAGCCAGCGUCCUCGCCGAGUCCUGGAGUCCUUCCCCUGGCUCGCUACCCUCGGCCAGUGCGGCCGGAGGGGUCUCUCUCCGUCCUCGGAGGGCAGGUCUGCACGGAGCUGUCCGCCUAGCCCGAGGGUGAAGUGUCACAGAAGACACAAACUGCAUUCGUGGCAGUUCACGCGGCGUCUCCGCCCGAGGGUCCCUGGAGGCCUCCUUCUGGAAGUCCCCCCUUCUCACAAGGGUUGGGGUGUCUUGGUCCCACUGAGACGCCCUGAGCAGGGCUCACCGCGGAGCUGGGACUCGGAGGACCUGGUCUCUCACGGGAUAGUGGUCACGGAUCUGCCCACGAGUGGCCCAACGCUGUCCUCUAAUUUCCCACUCGUCGUCUCCCUUACUUGCUGACUCCCCCCGGCGAGCAACAGCUAAUGACUCUAAGACUGCCUUUCCCAGCCGUCCCAGCCCAAGGCGUUCGGGCAUGGUGGGUGCCGUCAGGACAGACGAGGGACCGCGUCCUCCGCGCACUCUCCUCCAGGCGCCAGGCAGACGCCGCUCCACACGGGCCCAUCCCACCCAGCGGGGCCGCACCACUGGCGCCGCCCGCACGCGGGGAGGAAGCCUCGACUGCGCAGACGGCGGGCUGUGGGGCAGGCGUGCGUCUGCGCUCUCUCUCACGGGAAACACAGCGCCAGUGUUGGGUCGCGCGACAGAGCAAAAACGUGGCAACGUGUCGACAAAAGGAGGGAAGAGCAAUCACCAAAGCCACACAGCGAGAGCUCAGUAAGCGUGAGCAGCCGCCGCCCCGUUCCACUGGUCAAUCAGCCGUUCAUCCGUGAACCGUGUGCUGACCUGCAGAUGGUAGGUACACUGGGGACCACGUCAGGUGCGCGUGGAUUCUGCCCUAGGCACCACGGUAGCCUGGGGGGAGGGAGAGGCAGACAGCGCACACGCACGCGCGCGUGCGCACACACACACACACACGGCUUCUCCUGCGUGCACAAGCUGGUGGGGACGGUGGGAGGGUCCAGGGUCCUGAGACUGAAACGUCAGAGUUCUAGCUCUUGCAUAAAUCUUGGAUCGACAUAGAGAGGGAAAAACACAUUACUGGCUAAACCAGAAAAAUGUGUCCCAGACGUCUGCGGAGGUUGCACAGUGAGGCGGUGAGUGAGGCUGGAGACGGGCCUUGUGUCAGCCUCCCGCGUGGGAGGCUGCAGGUCCGAGAGGUGGCGGCUGUGCCGUGAGGGUCCCAGAGCCCGGUCUCCCGCCGAGCCCUGUCCGGCUGCCCCUGGGCAUGAGGUGGGGGGAGGUGGCCGCCGUCCGCCCGCCUCCGUCAGGGCAAGUCCCGGGGCCCGAGCCCCGCUAUAUAUAGCAGGGGACUUGCAUAAGAGCGCUGUUACAAAAGGGCAGUGGAGAGGGAGAGAGGACGCCAGCUGAAUGUUUUCCACCAAAGCUCAUUUUAGCAGAUGCAUUUUCUCUGCUUCCUCGAUAACGGUGCACCAGGCCUGUCCCCGGUGCCUGUGGACCCACAGUGGUGUCUGUGCUGGGCACCUGUGACCCUGACAGGUACACCGCACUCAUGCCCGCCCUUCAUUUCAUGUGUCACGCCCCCCCCCCCCCUGCCAUUCGCCCUGGGGGCUGCGGAGGAGGCCACGGUGACUUAGACUGAAUCCACAAAGUAUCUGGGAUAAUGUUGGAAAGGAAUGUUCUAAGCUCAGCAGGAUGGGUGACUCACACAUAGCUGUUCAGUCUAUCUUAAGAUAGAAAUACUUUACAGUUUGUGAUUGUUCCAAAGUAGAGCUUUCUUGUCCCAGCAGAUCUCUCACACGCUGUGCUGCCCAGGGGCGCCUAGCUUCUGUUGAAUUUGUGUCUGUCUGUCUACGUUCCGUGGCCGUGACGUCAUGCAACAGUGACGGGGUGCUGCGUGUGGUCUUCCCCAGGGCAGGUGGUUUGCCUGUCGUCCUGGAGUCCCUCCCAGCCCACGUUUGUCCUGGUGUGCGGAUCCGUGCUGGGACAGCAGAUUACUGACAGGGUCCCCCCGAGUGCUAAUAGCUAACACGGAAGGCUCCCUCGAGCUUUGCUCCAUGCCCUUUAUAGGUAAUGACUCGUUUCUGGAUCCCCAUUUUAAGGAUGAAGACACAGGUUCAGAAAGGUUAAGUGACCAAGAGCUGCGCUCUGUCAGACGCUGCUGGGACCCUCUCCCUCCUCGGUCAACGCAGGUCACCAACCCUGCUUCCCGGACGUGAAUUUGAUUCAGCCUCUACCGCACACUGGGCCCUGGGAUCUACUACACGCAGGAAACAAACCUGGCAGCGGCGGCAGCGGCGGACGCAGCCCUGCCUCCACGAAGCCACACGGAGCCCCACGUGGCCACAAACAGAAGUGAGAGCACCUGCCCGAGUCGGGGGAGCACGGCUGGAUCUGCCCCCUGGCUCUUUACCAGGUGUGAAAUGAAUGCAGAAAACCCGCAAGAGACUGGACCACUGUCCUAUUAAUCCACUGGACGGCUUUGUCCCGCCUCGCUCGUUCCCUUCACACGCUUAGGCCACGUCUGACGUCUGUGGCCACGGGGGAGACGCACGCAUCCCAGCGACGGAGAACAUGAACGCAAGCCGGACCGCGGAGCCACUGUCCCCAAGGCAGACAACAGACGCGGCACGUCCGCGGGCUGGAGACGGGCGGGGGGACGGGGACGGGAGAGAGGACACGAGUGGGACAGAGGCGGGGACAGGGACAACAGGAGCCGAGCCCACGCUGCCCGCCUGGCCGCCCCCUCACUCUCUCACCCUGCGUGUGCCAGGCGCCGGGCGGGGCUGGGGUCGCUCUCGCUGGGCAGCGGCGGCAGAAGCCCGUGUUCCGCACGGCACUCCACGCCUCCGAGCCCGGCCCCGGCGAGCACGCCACGCUGGAAACGAGAGUCCCAGGCGCCGUGUCCUUAGAAAUCCCGCGAGUGACAGAGACUGGCUUCCCCGCGGCAGACGGGGCUGUUUCCGGGCUUUUCGGCAGGUGAGCGGCGUGUGGAGCCGCACAGGGGACGUUCGAGGGGCGGGGAGUCGCGCGGCCCAGACGCGGCAUGAAGUAUGCAGGCCGCCUGCUAGCCAGGGAGGCGCUGUCCCCUUACGGCCUACAUUCCUGGCGGGGUCGCAGCCCAGGGAGCCUCAGCUCUCUCGCCCAAGGCGGCCGGUGCAGGCCUGGAGGCCCCCCACCCCCGGACUCCUCGGCCGUGGCAGGGCACUCCGCUCGGGGACCAGGCAGAUGAAGUGUCCUGGCCGCGUGCUCCCACGAGCCUUGCCCGCUGGUAGACGGCCCUUCAUUUCCCAGUUUCCCUCAAGUAUGAGGGAGCCUUAAGAGCAUUUACUGCUUUUUUAAAUUAAACGAAUACACGGAACAGCCAGGGAGGAGCGGUACUCGUUCACGCCACAGUUUAGCAAGUUCAUCCGUGAGGAUCUGUAACAAGACAGAAUAAACAGGCCCAGGAGCUCUCUUCUCACGGGGAGGGCCUGGGGGGCAGGCCGGCCCGGCCUUGCCUCCGUCACCCCAGCCCUGCGGUCGGCACGCGCGGUCUGGGCCCGUCGCUGUGUCCGCCCACCCCGCCAGGCCCCGGGGCUCGCCGCUCCAGAAACGCGAUCGUGACGCCUGCCCGUGAGACUCCUCCUGAAGCGUAGGUGAGACCGUGAACGCGAGGGUCUGGUGUUGAGCCUGGCAAGGACUUGGGUCUGCUCUCUCUUUCUUUCGAUGCUGGUAAGAUACGAACAUCAACUGUAGCUUUAGACUGAAAGGCUUCUCAAGCUCUCAGAAUCUAGUGGAGAAUUCAAUUCAGACUUUAAAAAAGCAGACAUUAAGUUCUCCCCAGAUCUGUCGAUGAUGCAUCGUUGCUACAGAGACUCUCACAGGCCAAAACACACACCUGCCCGUCUCUUCCUUUCUCUUCGCUGGAGCGCUACAGAGAGCAGCCCUCUCCUGCUGGAGCGCGCACAGUGAAGGAAGAUCUGAUCCGGCUCCUUUGAAAAGCAAACAACGCAACACCCCAACCCUUAACAUAACCCCGACUCUUUAAAAGAAAGCUGAGCUUGCAGGAGGGGCCGUGGCGGCCUGGAGCCCUGGAGCCCCGGAGCCCUCCGGAGCCCGCCGCAGCCCUCCGGAGCCCGCCGCAGCCCCGCUCUCCAGGGGCGGCUCACCUCCUCCUCUGAUGCCGUCGGAGGCCAAGGAACGUCAAAGACAAAGCCGCCUCCCUCCCUGCCGCAGCACCGGAACAGGGUGCGCCCAAGAGUCUGCAGCGCACU